GACCCCCGGCGCUCCGUCCCCUCACGGCCCCGCUUCCUCAGCGGGGCCCGGCGGCAGGCGGGGUUCCCCCGCGGCGUGAGCCGCCGGGGAAGCGGCCUCAGGCCGCCCGGGCCGAGGCCGGGAGGCGCUGUCGGGAGGUGGCGGCCCGGCCCGGCCCGGCCCGGCGGGGCUGCGGGUCACCUGCCUUCCCCCCGCCCCGGCCUCGCUGAGGGGAAACAGCGCGGGGAAUCGUCGCUGCUGGGCGUGGAAGAUGCUGAAAGGAACGGGGGUGUCUUCUAAAAGGGUGCAACGUGAAAAGAAGAAGCCUACUGCCAGGAUGCGCUCAGGUGAGGACACAAAGGGUUAGCACCGAGUCCUGGAUCUGGACCUGGCAUUCCUGAGUGGAGAGCAAAGAUGAGGUAAUUACGGAUUUCUACAGGUAAUGGCUCAGGAGGCAGGCGUUAUAUUUGGAGGUGAAUAAAUAGCUCCGAUAUCUGUGCUUCCACAGUAGUUUCCAGGUAGAAGAUACGGUACUAAUGAAGCCUAAGGGUCAUGAGAGCAUUCACGUUAAUGGAAGAAAGCCUUUUUGUGCCUAUUGCCACUUAAUCUACUAGUAAAAGCAGAAGUACAGUAAAAUCUCCAUGUUCAUUAUCAUCUUGACAAUCCCCGAGUACAAUCGUUUGAUAAAAAGCUGUGAUAUGGAGCCAAUUACAAGAACUGUCUUCCUUCACAAUUCAGCCUUUCCUGGGCUCAUAGCAGCUGUGGUUCAUCUAUCACGUUACUUCUGUAAAGGAUUGUAUCCACAGGCCCCCCAGAAAUACAAGAAUCACCUACUCCUUCCCUCCCCUGUUCACAACCUAGCAUGUAUCUACUAUGUAUUGAGCUAUAUGCUCUUAAUUUUAAUGUGUGAGAAAGAACACACACUGUAAUUAUAUAUUUCCUCUGGAUGUGUUUGUGUUGUUUCUGAAUAAAAGCAACCUAAACAA